rfam:Picea glauca, whole genome shotgun sequence.
ACAUGCUUACAGCAUAGCGUUACUACACCGUAUCCUAUUAGAACUCUGCAUUUAAGCGUGCUUGGGUUAGAGUAUUACUAGGAUGGGUGAACACCUAGGAAUUCCUAGUUUUUUACAUGCC